rnacentral:rRNA from 1 species
UACGGAGGGUGCAAGCGUUAUCCGGAUUCACUGGGUUUAAAGGGAGCGUAGGUGGGCUUGUAAGUCAGUGGUGAAAUCUCCGGGCUUAACCCGGAAACUGCCAUUGAUACUAUAGGUCUUGAAUACUGUGGAGGUUAGCGGAAUAUGUCAUGUAGCGGUGAAAUGCUUAGAUAUGACAUAGAACACCAAUUGCGAAGGCAGCUGGCUACACAUAUAUUGACACUGAGGCUCGAAAGCGUGGGGAUCAAACAGG